rnacentral:rRNA from 1 species
AUACGGAGGGUGCAAGCGUUACUCGGAAUCACUGGGCGUAAAGGGCGCGUAGGCGGCGAUGUAAGUCAAAUGUGAAAGUCCUCGGCUUAACCGGGGAAGUGCAUCUGAAACUGCAUUGCUUGAGUAUGGGAGAGGAAAGUGGAAUUCCCGGUGUAGAGGUGAAAUUCGUAGAGAUCGGGAGGAAUACCGGUGGCGAAGGCGACUUUCUGGACCAAUACUGACGCUGAGGCGCGAAAGCGUGGGGAGCAAACAGGAUUAGAAACCCUAGUAGUCC